UAAUACGGAGGGGGCUAGCGUUGUUCGGAAUUACUGGGCGUAAAGCGCGCGUAGGCGGCCUGCCAAGUUGGGGGUGAAAGCCCGGGGCUCAACCCCGGAACUGCCCUCAACACUGGCAAGCUAGAGACCGGGAGAGGUGAGUGGAAUUCCCAGUGUAGAGGUGAAAUUCGUAGAUAUUGAGAAGAACACCAGCGGCGAAGGCGGCUCACUGGACCGGUACUGACGCUGAGGUGCGAAAGCGUGGGGAGCGAACAGGAUUAGAUACCCUGGUAGUCCACGCCGUAAACGAUGAGUGCUAGACGUCGGGGGGCUUGCCCUUCGGUGUCGGAGCUAACGCAUUAAGCACUCCGCCUGGGGAGUACGGCCGCAAGGUUA
rnacentral:rRNA from 1 species